GGCGUAGUGGUGGAAUUGGCAGACGCGCCGGCCUCAAACGCCGGUCCCCUCGCGGGGCUGUGGGUUCGACUCCCACCUACGCCA
rnacentral:tRNA from 1 species